AAAGGGAGACCUAAUUCGGGUAUGGGAUGAAAAAAAAGUAGUCCCAACCAAGAAUCAAUCCCAAAAGGUCGGAGCGAGGCGAAAUUGGCUUUCAAACUAGGUUCUGGGUUCACACAAGACCUGAAUCAGGAACAAGGGCUAUUAGCUCAGGUGGUUAGAGCGCACCCCUGAUAAGGGUGAGGUCCCUGGUUCGAGUCCAGGAUGGCCCACCUGCACAGGUGGCAAAAACAAAGAAAAAAAGCUCCGAAUCAGCACCUUAUCUUACUUAUAUAGUAAGAGAGAAUGCUGGCUCUGAGUUCAGAGUCCAGAGGAACCUUGAAAACUGCAUAGAGCUAGGUGAAAAAGCCAAAAAAGAAGACCGCAAG
rnacentral:tRNA from 1 species